rnacentral:rRNA from 1 species
GAUGAACGCUGGCGGCGUGCCUAAUACAUGCAAGUCGAGCGAACGGUCGAGAAGCUUGCUUCUCUGAUGUUAGCGGCGGACGGGUGAGUAACACGUGGAUAACCUACCUAUAAGACUGGGAUAACUUCGGGAAACCGGUGCUAAUACCGGAUGAUAUUUUGAACCGCAUGGUUCAAAAGUGAAAGACGGUCUUGCUGUCACUUAUAGAUGGAUCCGCGCUGCAUUAGCUAGUUGGUAAGGUAACGGCUUACCAAGGCAACGAUGCAUAGCCGACCUGAGAGGGUGAUCGGCCACACUGGAACUGAGACACGGUCCAGACUCCUACGGGAGGCAGCAGUAGGGAAUCUUCCGCAAUGGGCGAAAGCCUGACGGAGCAACGCCGCGUGGGUGAUGAAGGUCUUCGGAUCGUAAAACUCUGUUAUUAGGGAAGAACAUAUGUGUAAGUAACUGUGCACAUCUUGACGGUACCUAAUCAGAAAGCCACGGCUAACUACGUG